rnacentral:lncRNA from 1 species
UCCUUGCAUCAUGCUCACCUCUCCUUCUAAGUGCCAACUGCAACGAUCGUUGAAGUGCAGGGUCGGCAGGUAAAUUCAACCGGUUACAAUUAUGAUAGGAGCACAUCUCCUCAUAGAAAAGAUGUUUUGAGCUCAAAAUCUUCCGGACAUCAUCCUUCAUCUUCUCAGAGACAUUACUGAUAUGGUCCAAAAGCGCCGGAUUCUCCACAACCCUACUAGAUGUUCCCCUCCCAAGGAUAUCCGUUAGCUUCUUGUAUCUCUUGUUCAGGUCAUUAAACUUA